rnacentral:lncRNA from 1 species
UUUUUUUUUUUUUAAUAUUUUCCAGUGGCUACUCAUCCCACUGCCAUGAUUUAAUUCUGUACCAUUUUCCUACAUGUAUGUAAGGAAAAAGACUGGUGAGAUCAAAUUUCUUAACUGUAUCUAUACAUUGUAACUUGAAUAAGUAAAUUGCCAAAAUUCAUUUGUCUUUGUGAAAAAAGCAAGCAAUCCUAAUAUGCAGAUUUUCAUCAAAGCUUCUCUGACUGAAGACAGAGAAUCUUUUCAUAUGUAAUUAUAAGAUCUCCACAUUGGAAAGAUAUCAAUAGUCCAAUGCUUACUGAGUUUUUGAGUCUUCUUUCUCUUUGCCAAAACUCAUGAACAGUUUUAGGUCAGGUAGGAAAGUGAUAAUUAAACAUCUCUAUGGCAUCAUUACCCAAGCAUGCGGAAACAUUCUAGGUUCACUGAGUGGAAGAAUACCUUUUAGUGAUUCAAAAGCACCAGGCCAGAUGCAAUUACAUAUUCUGAAUGUUUUCCAGCAGGUAAUUUUUUUGGUGCUAGUUGGAGUAAUUACUAUGUAAGGUGAAGAGCUGCUCUCUUACUCAGUAGGGGAUGCCAAUAAAUUUCUGACUCACCAAUAAAACUUUACCAAAGGUUUUUAAAUUGUAUAAUUAUCAAAGAUUAAUUUUAAAAAUGUGUAUUAGUCUUCAGCAAACUUUUGCUUUUAUCUAAACAUGGUUUUAUGUCUAGGAAAGAUCCCCUCUUUUCAAAAAUAAAUCUCUGAGAAGAAACACUAAAAGCUUGGAUAGAAGCUACAUUGUUGACCUCAAAUUGUAAAUUUCCACAAAGCAUCUCAUAAAAAUGAGGGAAAUAAACAGCAGAGUAUGUAAUUUAUCUUCCUAAAUUACUGUCCCUUUGGCAGAAGAAGGUUAAAAAGCAUUUUGACCUGAUUUUCUUUCACGUUCAUGGAUGCCUGCAUUACAGUAAAUAAAUAAAUAAAUAAAUAAAGUAUUUCUUAUAAAAAAUAUUUAACCAGACAAGGUAAAAUAUCAAGAAAUAUUUGAAAAAACUUAUUUGGAUGAAACCAUAUAAGGAAAAUCUUUACACAGACAUACAAGGGCAAAUACACCAAAUUUCAUUUCUAAAGACUGAGAUAAAUGAGACUAAUAUUUUAAUUUGCAUAGGAAGAGAGGCAUAAGGAAAGGAAAGUGAGUCCAAUAUGAAAGCAUCUCUUGAGAUGCUUCAACUGGAUUCCUGCCCCUUAUCCCUAGUAAAGAGAAAAAUACACAUUUAGGGCAGAUACCUUCUCAGAAAUGAUAAUCAUGUAGCAAUCUAGGUAGCAUGCUGGUUUCCAAUGAGCCUGCUCUUAAUAUAGAGGUAUCAGAACCCACUUCUGACACAUCUCUCUCCAGGAAAAAAGAAAGGGAGGUGUCGGUGAUAGUGAUUUUACAGUAUGGAGGGCUCUCAUAAGAGCUCAUAUUUUGUUUUUGUUUUUUGUUUGUUUGUUUGUUUGUUUUUGUCUUUUUUUUCCAUCUCUUGGGCCGCUCCCGCGGCAUAUGGAGGUUCCCAGGCUAGGGGUCGAAUCGGAGCUGUAGCCACAGGCCUACACCAGAGCCACAGCAACGCGGGAUCCGAGCCGCAUGUGCGACCUACACCACAGCUCACGGCAACGCCGGAUCGUUAACCCACUGAGCAAGGGCAGGGACCGAAUCCGCAACCUCAUGGUUCCUAGUCGGAUUCGUUAACCACUGCGCCACGACGGGAACUCCAAGGGCUCAUAUUUUGAAAGAAAAUAUUAAAGAGGUGUACAUAAGAAAGAACUAAUAGAAAAGAAUUCCAAUGCUUGAAAAUGAAUUAUUUGGUCCCAAACACUUUUUUUUAACGUCUCCUUCCCUUCCUUUCUUUUCUCCCUUCCUUCCUUCUGGGAAGAUAAAAUAUUAGAAAAUACGUCAAAAAACUUAACUAGUCCUCUUUUUGAUGAAAUAAUAUGCUCCACAAUCUAAAAGAUGUAAAUGAAUUUAAGCGGUUCUUGAAAAUCGAACUUUGUUCAUGAUUGUGUAUAAAAGGAUUCUUCAUGAAGAUUCAAUAUGGAUGAAUACUGAUUCAUUUGUAACUGCAACCUCCAAAUUACUUUGCUGAGCAAAUUUAAGUAACUGAGAUUAUCCUGCGAUCUUUCUGUUAGACGGAUAUAAUCAUCAAGUUCAUUAAUCUUUGCACUGUCAAUUUUUGGGAACUCUGGAGUUUCCACAAAGAUGUUUCUGGGCAUAGAAAUGAAGGUGACCUGAUUUCCCAAGUAACAUCAAACCAAGCAACUAAAUUUUGUUUCAUACAUAUAUGAAGCUUCCACACAAUAUUUUAUAUGGAGAUAUUAUCUAAAAGAAUUUGAAGAAUACUCAGUAAAACUCUUAUUUUAGAAAGUAAAAUCAGAAACUCAAGAGAAAUUACAUUCUCAAGGAUUUGGAAUUUGUUCCUUGUUAGACAAGACUCUAGAUAUUUUUAGGAAUUUGCAAACUUAUAAGAUACUUCUCAUUAUUUUCUUAAUGAAGCCAGGGUACACCAAAUUUUUCUUCACCUCCAGGACUAUUAACUAUUGAGUGAAAGAACCACAUGUAUUCUCACCUCUGCCAAUCAUUUUAUGAUUAUUUAUAAAUAAUUUCUGUGUGAAGAUAAACCAUCCAGAUGAAAAUGCCUUUAAAAAGGCCAAACAUUGCUGCAGUAAAAAUGAACUCAAGCAGUAGUUCUUGUCAUUAUUUUUCCUCCUCUAAUAUCUAAGGCAUAUAUUUAUGUUAAUAACCAGACAGUAGUUCAACAUCAUAGCCAGGUGCUAGAGAAAGAGCAGAGGGGGCCAAUUCUGAAGAAGGAUAAUGAAUUCUUUGAAAAUAAUUUGGUUUGGCUUUCAAAUUUUGACAGUUGCAUUUGUACACUGACAAUAAAUGGUACAGACUGUGACUAUACACACACUAAAACUGAUUUUAAGUGAUUAUGCUAAUAAUUUAAGCAAAUAACUCACUAUCUUAAUUAUUAGGAUAUUGCAAAUAUGUUUUUCUAAAAUUUGAAAUGCUUGUAUUAGUCCUUUAAUUUUUCAUUCUGGGCAAGAAUGCACAUAAAUUGAACCUCCUUUAGAUAAUAAAAUUCCCAGCCUAUCAGAGUUCUUUGGUGGUUCCCAACCCAUUUGCCAAAAUUCUCCCAACAUCAACGAUGUCUAUACUUAGGUCAGGAUGUUGCACUCACGGCAACCUUCCCUUGUGGAAAUGUUCUAGUUUGAACCGAAAUGUUGACUUCCUUGAAACGGGCCAUUUGUUGAGCAAAGGGUUCUAAGGUGCUGUUGACUGUCUCAAGCUUUUGACGGGCAAAAUUGUUUUUGAUGUUCUUUAGUGAAACCUAAAGCCUAGUUGGAAAGGCAUAAUUCAGAAAUACAUUAUUUUUUUUCACAGAGUUUUUCUUUCCCUUUACCCAUGGAGAUAAAACAUGUAUUCAUAAACAUGUGGAAAUUAAGGCAAUAAUUAUAGGCAGUCUGUUUGCAGAAAUACUUUCUCCAAGGUAUUUUUCUCUGAAUGUUUGGAUCUUUUGCGCAAGAAUGCACAUAAAUUGAACCUCCUUUAGAUAAUAAAAUUCCCAGCCUAUCAGAGUUCUUUGGUGGUUCCCAACCCAUUUGCCAAAAUUCUCCCAACAUCAACGAUAAAUAAUCAUAUUACUUUAGAAACUUCUGUUUAAUCAAAAGCUGGUGCUAAAGAUCAUUCCAUAUAAUAUAUUUUUACUUUUUUCUCUCUUCUAUUUAAAUUAUAUGUGGAGUUCCCAUUGUGGCUCAGAGAGUAACAAACCUAAGUAGUAUCCAUGACGAUGUGGGUGCAAUCCCUGGCCUCGCUCAGUGGGGUAAGGAUCUGGCAUUGCUGUGAUCUGUGGUGUAGGCUGAAGGUGCACCUUGGAUUUGGCAUUGCUGUGGCUGUGAUGUAGGAUCUAAGCCACAUCUGCGACCUACACCAUAGCACACGGCAACAUGGGAUCCUUAACCCACUGAGCAAGGCCAGGGAUCGAACCUGCAACCUCAUGGUUCCUAGUCGGAUUCAUUAACCACUGUGCCACGACGGGAACUCCCCUUUUUUUUAUUCUUAACAUUCAAAUUGAAAUACAAAAUAAGUGUGCCAAAUUCCACUGAAAUCAACAAAUGGAGAGUGAUCUUAUUUUCUAUAACAUCUCAUAUUUGUAUUAAAAUUUAAAUUCAUAUAUAUAAAUGUAAUAAUUCAUAGGUAUAUAAUGAAAUAUUAUUUACUAUUUCAUAAUUUCCAGAAGGUGUUUCUUCUUUGUUAAUGAUUGAUGAAACUGAAAGAGAGAAUCAUAAGUACUUGUUUUAUGUUCAUCUUUUCUUAAAUCAGGCUUAAAUCCCUAAAACUUUAUAUACUAUUUUAAAGUUACUCUGCUACAAAUGAACUAAAAAAUGUCAAAUUCAUUUUUAUCUAUUUUAAUGACAUUUUGCAAAAAUAAAACAGAAAACUUUGCUUUUCACUAUCAGUAAAGCGGGAACAAGGCAUAGCGUGUGAUUUUGGCAAUGACGUUGUUUGUGAUGACAAGUGCCAAGUUGCCUCAGGUAAUCCAAGUUUCAUAUAAGAAUAUAAAGAAAUUAAGAAGCAGAGUAAAUCCCCACCAAGGUUCCACAAUUAGUCUCCCUAUAAUGGUAACAUCCUCCAUCACUGAAAAACAACUCUAAUCCCCAAACAUCAAUUCUAGAAGUGGUCCUCAGAAGUGCUCAUCCUGAUAAAUUAACUUCCACAUAACUCAGUUCCUGUUUGGCUUACCUACACUUGAUUUCCUCAUAAUGUUGAUGGUAACUAUUUAUUUUCUAGUACGUUGUUUCCCAGCUGUGUUUAUUCAAGAUUUCCACUUGUUAACUGCUUUUAUAUAUUCUACAAACAGUUCAUCUUUAUUGGGAUAUAAUACAUAUGUAAUAAUAUUCACCCUUUGAAGCAUAAAAUUCAGUGGAUUAAUAUAUACAGAGUAGGUAUAGAAAGAAACUUUGCACCCGUUAGGACAGAUACACAGAAGUGGGAUUUCAGGAUCAAAUGAUAGUCCUAUUUUUAACUUUUUGAGGAACUUCCAUGCUGUUUUCAAUAAUAGCUGUACCAAUUUACAUUCCUCUCAACAAUGUGCAAAGGUUCCCUUUUUUCCAGGUCCUUGCCAAUACACCACCUUUUGUAUUUUUGAUAAUGCCAUUCUAACAUGUAAGUGAUUACCUCACUGUAGUUUUGAUGUUCAUUUCUCUGAGAUUAGUAAUGUUGAACAUUUCUCAUAUACCUGUUCGCCAUUUUUAUAUCUUCUAUUAAGGUCCUUUGCACAUUUUAAAAAUGAAGUUAUGUGUUUUCUUACUGUGGACUUGUUUGUGUUCCUUAUAUAUUUUAAAUAUUAGCCCUUUAUCAGAUGUAUGAUUUGUAAAUAUCUUCUCCUCUUCUAUGCACUGUCACUUUACUCUGUUGAUUGUUUCCUUUACUAUAAGGAAGAUCUGAAACUGUGAAACUAUUAAAAGAAAAGAUAGGGAAAGGCUUCUUGACAUUGGUCUAGGCAAUGAUAUUUUUUUUUGUAUGAUCUCAAAGGAAAAGGCUAGAGGAAGCCAAAUUAAAAAAAGAAAUAAAUAAAGAAAAAAAAAAGGUGAUUAGGAGUGGCCAUGAUGGCAGAGUAAGAGCCUGAGCUUACCUCCUCCCACAGGCACAAAAAAAUUACAACUAUUUACAAAACAACUAUUAAUGAUAAAUACCUAAAAACUAACAGGA